AAUUUUAGGUAAUCGCGGCUAAUAAUUAGUUGAGGAAAGUCCAUGCUCGCACACGCUGAGACGCGUGUAGUGUUCGUGCUUAGCGAAACCAUAAGCUAAGGCAAUUUAAUUGACGGCAGUAAAACACACUAAGGUCUACGGACUAUGUGUUAGUAUACUUGAAAGUGCCACAGUGACGAGUUUCAUUGGAAACGAUGAAAGUGGAACGUUGGUAAACCCCUCGAGCGAGCAACCCAAACUUUGGUAGGGGCGCUUCUUCUAUACGUAAAUGAACGGAAGAAGAAGACACGAAAGUGUAGAUAGAUGGUUACCCGUCGAUUUAUCUGCCUAGGAUAAAUCGAGUGACAGAACAUGGCUUAUAAAA
rfam:Globicatella sp. HMSC072A10 Globicatella_spHMPREF2811-1.0_Cont1290.1, whole genome shotgun sequence.